rnacentral:rRNA from 1 species
AUGGAGCAAUCAAAAAUUAUAGAUAUGUUGGAGACGUAUCAAUAUGCUGGUCGUCUUUAUCACACCUUUAAAGAGGCUUGUUCCACGCGUGGUUUGUUAAGAGACGAUAACGAGUGGUACAUAGCGUUUGAUGAAGCGGUUGUCUGGGGGUUUGGGCAUCGACUUAGAGAGCUGUUUGUGACUAUGCUCAUGCAUUGUUCUAUCAGGGAUGAGAUGGGUUUCUUUGAACGUUACUGCGUUAGCAUGUAUGAUGAUAUCCAGCAUAGGUUGCGGCAUGCCCUGGGUAAUCCAAACUAUGUUGUUCCUCCUGAAAGAUUAAGAAAUAUGCUUCUUAACGAGUUGGUCGACAUUUUCUUGAAACAUGGUUCUGAUAUAAGAAGUUUUAACUUGCCAUCUCGCUCUAGCGAAGGUGAGCAGUCUGAUGAUAAUCGCCUUAUUCGUGAGGAACUGUCUUAUGAUGCAUGUGCUCUGUCUAAACAGUCCUUGGUUAUGUUUGCCAGUUUAAAUGAGGACCAGUUGGUUGCUUAUAAGACAAUUGUAGAGUGUGUGAAGGCGGGGAAAUCGGGCUUUUUUGUCUCUGGGUAUGGUGGUACUGGGAAGACUUACCUAUGGAGUGCAAUAUGUGAUUUCCUUAGGGGCGAGAGGAAGAUAGUGCUUACUGUUGCGUCGUCGGGCAUUGCGUCACUGUUGUUGCCUGGUGGUAGAACUGCUCAUUCUCGCUUUAAGAUACCUAUUCUUCUUGAAGAUAAUACGCAAUGUGAUAUUAAAAGAGGCUCUAAGCUUUAUAAGUUGCUGAUGGUAUCUUCGCUUGUUAUUUGGGACGAGGCGCUUAUGACACACAGGAAAUGCUUUGAGGCUGUAGAUAGAACUUUGUGUGAUGUCCUCUCUGUGGCUAAUCCAGAUCUUGCGGAUAUUCCAUUCGGUUGA